ensembl:antisense Kbtbd8os kelch repeat and BTB (POZ) domain containing 8, opposite strand
AGUCAUCUGGCUGAAGCGAACUGUCACUCUGAGGAGUGAGGCAACUGUCAGUAAUGAUCCCACACAACACAGAUGUGAUAGCAGCUAAUGGCAGAGGAGGCAGAGGAAAUAGAACCUCACUUCUGCAAAUGGAUUCUUCGGCUCACCAAUUUCCUUGUUGGGCACUGCAGAGGCUGUGAGAUUAACCAGGGCUGUAUAAAAGGAAAGAAGGGAGGAAGGCACAUGGAAGACCGUCACCUUUCAGCAAAUGACAUCCUUAAGCAUUUAACAGCUCAGCCACAAUCUACUUGAUGUGGCCAAUGUGACAUUUAUCUUGCCAACAUCUUGUAUCAACAGGAUUAAUGCCUGGAAUAAAGCAACAGAGUAUUUUUAAUAUAAAUUUAAUAUAAUUGCAGAUACUAAAACUGAUGUUUUAAAUUCUGGGGCC